GGCCGCGGGAAUUCGAUUCAGGCCUAACACAUGCAAGUCGAGCGGUAGAGAGAAGCUUGCUUCUCUUGAGAGCGGCGGACGGGUGAGUAAUGCCUAGGAAUCUGCCUGGUAGUGGGGGAUAACGUUCGGAAACGGACGCUAAUACCGCAUACGUCCUACGGGAGAAAGCAGGGGACCUUCGGGCCUUGCGCUAUCAGAUGAGCCUAGGUCGGAUUAGCUAGUUGGUGAGGUAAUGGCUCACCAAGGCUACGAUCCGUAACUGGUCUGAGAGGAUGAUCAGUCACACUGGAACUGAGACACGGUCCAGACUCCUACGGGAGGCAGCAGUGGGGAAUAUUGGACAAUGGGCGAAAGCCUGAUCCAACGAUGCCGCGUGUGUGAAGAAGGUCUUCGGAUUGUAAAGAAAGUGUAAGUUGGGAGGAAGGGCAUUAACCUAAUACGUUAGUGUUUGACGUACCGACAGAAUAGCCC
rnacentral:rRNA from 1 species